ACAGGAUGAACAUAUUCUCGAAAAUUCGAUUUUUUUUAGUAUUGACCCGGUUAGCAAAUAUCGUAGAUCCGGGGCUGAUGUGCAGUGCAGGUAGUCUCCACGUAACCCGUGUUUACACUUCACAUUUAACUCAUUUGAAGAGCUCUCUGCAACUCGUGCUCAUCAUCACCUUCAGUGUCAUUUAUCUUGGUCUGAAGACUAAGGCUAAGAGCUUUCUGAAGCUGCAGUUCUUCAUCCUGGCUGAUAGUGCGAGGUAUUGGUGGUGCUCCAUCAGCUGUGUCUGUGGUUUCAACAAUAAGAUCAUUAUAUGAGUCGCACAAAACAAUCAAGCUUUUCAUUGCAUUAACUGAAUAAUGAUUAAAC